rnacentral:snoRNA from 1 species
UAUCCAUGGUGGGGGGGGGGGGUUUGCAACUCUUUGUAUCUCUCCUAGGCUUGAUAUAAGAUUUCACUAUCCUUUUGGGAAAAUGAGGAAAUUUGCUUCUUAAUGGCA